rnacentral:rRNA from 1 species
AACGAACGCUGGCGGCAGGCUUAACACAUGCAAGUCGAACGCCCCGCAAGGGGAGUGGCAGACGGGUGAGUAACGCGUGGGAACAUACCCUUUUCUACGGAAUAGCUCUGGGAAACUGGAAUUAAUACCGUAUACGCCCUACGGGGGAAAGAUUUAUCGGGGAAGGAUUGGCCCGCGUUGGAUUAGCUAGUUGGUGGGGUAAAGGCCUACCAAGGCGACGAUCCAUAGCUGGUCUGAGAGGAUGAUCAGCCACAUUGGGACUGAGACACGGCCCAAACUCCUUCGGGAGGCAGCAGUGGGGAAUAUUGGACAAUGGGCGCAAGCCUGAUCCAGCCAUGCCGCGUGAGUGAUGAAGGCCUUAGGGUUGUAAAGCUCUUUCACCGAUGAAGGUAAUGGCGGUAGUCGGAGAAGAAGCCCCGGCUAACUUCGUGCCAGCAGCCGCAGUAAGAC